rnacentral:rRNA from 1 species
AUUGAACGCUGGCGGCAGGCCUAACACAUGCAAGUCGAACGAGUGGCGGACGGGUGAGUAAUGUCUGGGCAACUGCCUGAUGGACGGGGAUAACUACUGGAAACGGUAGCUAAUACCGCAUAACAUCAGAUGUGCCCAGAUGGGUUUAGCUAGUUGGUGGGGUAACGGCUCACCAAGGCGAAGCUCCCUAGCUGGUCUGAGAGGAUGACCAGCCACACUGGAACUGAGACACGGUCCAGACUCCGACGGGAGGCAGCAGUAGGGAAUAUUGCACAAUGGGCGCAAGCCUGAUGCAGCCAUGCCGCGUGUAUGAAGAAGGCUUUCGGGUUGUAAAGUACUUUCAGCAGGGAGGCGUUAUCCGAAGAAGAAGCACCGGCUAACUACGUGCCAGCAGCCGCGGUAAUUC